GGAUUGGCUUGGUAAGGGGCUCUCUGUUGUCAUAGUUUAAGCCCAUUUUGGACAUCGUGACUCAGGAAAUGUCAGCCUGUCUGAGUUUGGAUGUCUUGCUGGCGUACAAGAGCGAAGUAUAGAUCUCUCUUCCCUGCCAUCAGGAAAGCAGACAAUAGAUGAGUGUUCAUACCCCCUCUCGGUAGGAUUGCAUGGAAGGGCUAUGAUCAAUAUGUGACCAACCACAGAAAAGGUUUUUUUGUGAGACUAUCAAUGUAAUAGCUCACUUCACCCAGCAUUUGCGGGGUACUCCACAGCCCAGCAAGUGAAUGAAGUUUGAAAAGCCAUUCAUUGCACUCCGCCAUUACUGUAUGAUGCAUCCAUUAUGAAGGGAACAUCCACAUCUUUUAGUAAAGGGUUUCAAAAGAAAUAUGAAUUUUACAUUUUAUAUGACAGGUAGCACAUACACAGUUACAUAUCAUCCACCUGUUUGCUUCUCCUGUCUCACUAAUGCAAACACAUUAACAGGCGUUUGCCAUUUUUGUUGUAAAUGAGCUGCCAGCCUCUUUCACCCGAGUUUGAGGAGCCGUGGGCUUAUCACAAUAGUGCAUGGCAGAAUUAAAUGUUAAUGGAGGGCAGGCCAUGCUCAGGGAGGCUGCAGGAGCUCUGAUCAGUCUCUCAACACACCUUCAUCAACCAGAACUGUCACGCUUAAAGCAACAGCGUCAUUAGAAAUGAGCUCACUGACCUUUUUGCUUUUCUGACGGCUUUAUUUAGAGAACAAAACUAUAGAGCACAGAAAUAAUGGCAGUUGUUGUUAUUGUAAUGGCAGGUAAACUUUGGGGAGUUGUAAAUCAGUAGUUGAAUGACAGUGAUCUGGAGCAUGUUGUCCUCUGCAGAUGGGUUUGUUAUUAAAUAAUAGGAUACUACUCAGUGAAAAAUUGUUUGACAUUUGAAAUACACUCACAUGCUCCUUAAUAUAGCAGUGGUUUGAAGAACAUGGGACUUUGUCACAGUGAGACUUUAAUGGCUUUUUUUCCAUGCCCACACAUGCAACUUCUUAAGGAUGAAUAUGAAUCUCUUGGGAGAGUUUAUUUUAAGCAUCCAAAAAACAUGGACAUUCACAUAAUGUAUUGUCAUAUAAACGUAGAUUUAUUCACAUGAAUCCAAACAUGUAUGUUUUCAUAUAUUUACCCUGAUAUAUGAAAUAAAAAAAGGAAAUUAAAUCCCUUAGUUUGGAGGUUUGUGAUGUGUAAUCUGCUGAAAACAAAUCUCAUGGAAAUAGAUGUUUCACCAGAACUCCACAUUUAACAUGGUUUCUGUUUUUAUGUCAUUUCUUCAUGCGCCACUCCAUGAAGUAAUAAUCUGACCUUUACAAAGAUUUGACACUGAAUUUUGGUGCCGUGAUUUUAAGGGAUAUUCUGGCAUAAAUUUAAGUUAUGGUCAAACAAGUUGAUCACAGAGUGCAGAGGAAAUUUAUGAUUAUUAAUUCAUGGAAAUGCAAUCAGGAGCAGAACUACCACAUCUGCAGUGCACAUACAAGAUACACAAGAACUCUGAUUGCAUUUCCAUUAAGUAAUAAUCAUAAAUGUUCUUCCUUGAGCUGUGAAACUGCUGCACUCGGUGAUAGACUUGUCAGGGCUCCCCCCACAAACAAGCGGCUGCUGGAGGAGAGUGGGUGAGUUGUGUUUGGUCUCUUUGCUGAAGAAAUCAGGCAAAACUAAAAAGAUGUUUGAUGGCUAGUACUAUGGCUGGGACUCUAUAUGUACUGUUGAUGAAGUUAGGCGCUGUUCUAAGCAUUACUUGUUGCUAUAGAGUGGCUUUAUGGUUGAGGUUUGCACGUGGAGACAUAGACCACUGUGUAUUGCUAUCGCUAUCGUCAUUACUAAAGUUGGUAUAACCAGAGAAGCAAGCAGUCGGCAACAUUCAUCUCUCGAGGGUGUGUCUAACUCAGUGUUACGGUGUGUUUGACCAUAACUUAAAUUUACGCUGGAUAUCUCUUUAAUCUUCAUGUCAUGUAACAAACAAUUACUGUCCCAUGGGGUUGUUUGUUUGUUGAAUGUCCUUUUAGAUAAUCCUAUGUUCUCUGUGGACUGUGGGUUAAAUAGGUGGGUGGGGUCCAGAUAUGGUCAUCACCAGGCUAGCUCCUCAGUUUAUAAUACUCGGCCAUUCUGCUCUUGAGGGAGCCUCAGAUCAUGCACACUGCUCUUUUAUACCCAAUAAAGGGCAGGCCUGACAAACUUGGGGUUAGCAGUUUGUAUGUUUUGUCACAACAGAGUGAUGCCUCAUAUUUACGAUGUUGACAUCAAUGUUCUAGGCCAAUUCAACAAGAAGCCAUUUCUCCAGAGGGGAUAACAUGUAGUUGAUCUUCAAGCUAUUAGUAUGCAUUGGGUUUUUAGUGUAGCCAGUGGUGAUGAAGUCAUCAGAGAUAUUGGAACGAAGCAGCUGUGUCAAUGACUUGUCCAGCAGCAUUCAGCUUCUUGAUUUGAUACAGGCAGACUGCGACACUCUUGUAUGGGGAGUAUUGCAUCGUGAUUGCGAUGACAGGAGUCAAGAGCAGAUCAAGAUCUGCAGACACCUGCUAAAAGGCACUCACACAUAUGCAUGAGCUUUGUUCUGCAUCUGCAUCAGUGUCAGUAAGACUGCUGCCAUUUAUUUACCGACAAUGACUUUUUUUUUUUUUUUUAAGAAAUCAAGGCUGGAAACGCAGUGCAAGAACAGCUGAGGAGGUUCAAGUGAGUCUGUCAUCAGCAGCAGGGAAAUAAGUAACAUAAGAGGAGAAUGAGGGUGUAUCUGCUGAAGUGGUGCAAAGCAGCUGGCUGUGGUGAGCUCCAUCCUCCUCUCAGUGUAAACAAGCCUGUUACAUCCCUGAUCCCUUGGACACAUACAACAAUCUGCAAACCCCACAGGGGGGCCCUUUGGAGGAUAUUGGUUUGUGUGUGUAGCUGGAUGUGUUUCUGAACUGCGCGAUGGAAGUAAAGCUCUCUCAGCCGGUGUCCUGAGCAGCCUGAGGCUGAUCGAACUCUUUUGUAUGGUAGGAUUAAAUCAUCUGGUACUAACCUGUGAGGUGCCUUGCUGCCUCAGGUCCUUUUUGUGAGCAGCGUUCUUGCAUUAACAUGUUAUCUUGUAGAAUUAGCAGUGAUACAUUGUAUUCCCUCUCUCACAAAAGCAUUAGACAUGGACAGACCAAUGGAAAACCUGCUUGAAGAAGCACUCAGGGGACUGAAAAUCCAUGUGCAAUGUCACGCUGAUACGUUUUCAAAACCAAGCUUCUAAUCCCCAGCAGCGUUCACCUGAUAGAAUUUAUCUCAUCCCAUUUUAGUGGCAGUGAUAAGUGUGAAACAACAUUAGGGUGCAAAUAAACUCCUUUUCCAAGUGUGGUUUCUGAAUUUCCUUUAAACAAAAAAAGGACUUAAAGAUAAGACAAAAAGACAGGGGAAAAUGCAGCACAAGAAGCAAAAUCCUUGCAUAGGAGUUUAUCUUUAUGACGACAGUAGGUUUCAUUUCUAAAACAAUGUGCACUGUUAUCUGCUUUUGCAUUAUUCAUCAGAAUAUCUACUCUAUAAUACCUCAUGAUGCACCGUGAGGAGUCCAUGAAUGAAAUGCCAACAUCAAUAUGCUCACAGGCUAAGACUGCAUGGCCUUAUCCAGAAAAGGAAUCAUGUUUUUAAUGUGCAGGUAGCUAGCUGCUCAGAUUCAGUUAGCAUCAUAAAUUGUGCCACUAAGGCUUUGUUGACAGCUUUUGAAAUGAAAUUGCAUGAAGCGGAGAUCGAUAGGAGGGGAUCCUGAAGAGCGCAGCCAAUCAGAUUUUCUUGAUCUUGAUGGAGCCGUAGAGGCAUUAAAUUAUAUCGUAAUAGGGAAUGAAAGUUAUUAAGCCAAGUAGCAGCUGGGACUGUUUCAUGCAUUCAAACAAACAUACAUGCAUGAUCCACAAGCUAAUAAAGCUCAAUAUUAACUUGAUGCACAGGCGGUCAUCUCAAGUAGCAUCCACUGCAAAGAUAGGCCUCAAGCCUCAACAAAGAUUGCUCUCUCUAAGCAUUAAUCUAAUAUAAGACCCCCUGGACUCAGCUGUGCUUCAGUCCGAGCAAACAAGGAGAUUGACACUUGGAGGUGCAGGUGUCAAUCAGCUGGAUACAAGCGAUACAGGAGAUAUUGAAGACAGCAUUAAAACAUAAUGCACAUACAUGUAGAAUAGGACUUUCAAAACAGGCCGAAUUUGACUUUGAUUACUCCCUUUAAAACUACACAAAGGCUCAAACCACCUAAACCAGAUUUCUGUUUUUGCACAUGAUAUCAAAAAGAGGGCAAACCUGUACAACCACUUCACAGUGUUUGAAUUUGAGUGGGUUAGAGUUUAUAAUUCUUUAAUGUUGGCCAAAAUGGCUCGUAAUAUAUGAGAAUUUCAGCUAUGGAACAAGAAAGACUCUAAAUAGCUGUUUUUGCUCACAUCUUUAUCAUGUAAUUCAGCACAAAAAACAUAAAAGCUAUCAUUAGAAAAAAAUACAUCUCAGGCUAAGAUGAGACUGCAUGUGAGUACUAACCUGCAGCACAAAGAAAAGGAGGAAGAGAGAAAUACAAUCAUCAGAUAACCACGUUACACGCUUCCGGACAUGUAUUGGGAUGGAGCUGUGUUAUCAUUUCACUGUUUUGUUUAUUUCUUAUUAUGAUGCAUAUGUAUGUUAUAACACCCCAUAUCCUAUGAGCAAUUGAGAAAAAAUGUCCAGAGACUGUAAAACUCAAAUGCCACCAGAUCUGUGUUUGGUCAGUCUCCAUCCCACCUCAGCUGUGAAGCAGAUAGGUUUUUACUUUAGUCAAUUUGUUUUAUUCCACUGGUUCUGCUGCCUUGCUGCUAUGUUCUGUCUCAGCUGCAGCAAAACAGAGUCUUGUGCAACAGAUACCCACUCCAUUUUGAUGCUGGAUCAUGUUUUCCUCUAUCCAUACAAACAUAUCAUCAUGGUGAGAGGGGCCAAGCCUGGAGUCAACAGAUCAGAGAUUUUAAGAGGCCACCAUGAAAGUAAAAAAUAAUAAUAAUAAUAACCAUAAAAAAAUUUUAAUUGUGUGGAUAAAAUGGGAAAUCCUUGUCUUGUGAGCUGUGAAACUGACAAACAAGGAGCCAAACCAGACCUUGGUGGAUAGGGACCAAGAAAGAAAAAGAUCUGCUGGGAUUUCACUGAUACCUACCGAAAGCAUGCUGGUGCCCUUCAUAUUCACUCAAGAAAAUUGCACUCUGCCUGACCAUUGCUCCUCUCUUUUCCACUAAUACAGGAGUAAACUCUUCUUGUCUUUGACUGGCUCAAAUAAAAAAUGAGCUCAGGAUGAAAAUGUGCCAAAAUCGGUUGAAUUCACUCACACUAAUUGCAAUAGAAUCAGAGUUUGUUCGACAGCUCAACUUUGAGUUAGUGGACGACAUUACAAGAAGGAAGAGCAGAAAGAAACUUUUAUAGAAUCCUUGGGUACGGUAGGUUGGUGCGGGGGUGGGGGUUCGGAGUGUAGGGGGGGGGGCUUGCAAACUCCUGGCCCCGGGGCCCAGACCCCCCAUAAUCCGGCCCUGUUCUUGAUGUUUCAACCACACAUUUUUUUGAGUGUGUCGUCUCAGCAACUAUGUUUUCUGCAGUUGUGACUAGAGACCACCUUCAUAGCUCAGUUGGUAGAGCGGAGGGCUGCAGGAAAUUCCUCAUAUGAAAUGCUGUGAUGCGAAGGUCGCUGGUUAGACUCCAGCUCGAAGCACGUGCAUUUCAUUGGUGUGAGCAAUGUUCAAGUUCGAAUUGCAUUGAAAUAAGGCCAAUACUUCUCUUCAUCUGUGAACUCCUCCAAAAUGUGAAAAGAUAAGUCCUCCUUGAUAUUCCAACCAUCAAUUUUUUAUUCACCCAGCCUAAAAGUCCUGAUUACCAGUUCUUGGUCCCUGGCAAUGACUGUUGGGUACAAACUGUGAAGCUCUGUUCUGAAGGUAGGGCUGGGCUUUUCAUUGACCAUGUGGGUGGAUUAGUUGUGUGGGCAAAGUGUGUCGUCUCAGCCACUAUGUUUUCUGCAGUUGUAAGUAUGGAGCGCCUUCAUAGCUCAGUUGGUAGAGCGGAGGACUGUAGGAAGCUCCUCAUAUGAAAUGCUGUGAUGCGAAGGUUGCUGGUUCAACUCCCAGUUGGAAGCACGUGCAUUUCAUUGGUGUGAGCAAUGUUCAAGUUUUAAUUAAGUUGAAAUAAUGCCAAGCCUUGUCUUCAUUUGUGAAUUCCUCCAAAAUUUAAAAAUACAAACAAAAUAACUCCUCUUUGAUAUUCCGACCAUCAAUUUUUUAUUCACCCAGCCUAAAAGUCCUGAUUAUCAGUUCUGGGUCCCUGGCAAUGACUGUUGGGUACAAACUGCAAAGCUUUGUUCUGCAGGUAGGGCUGGGCUUUUCAUUGACCAUGGGUUGGAAUAGUUCUGUGGGCAUAGUGUGUCUUCGAAGCCACUAUGUUUUCUGCACUUGUGAGUAGAGAGCACCUUGAUAGCUCAGUUGGUAGAGCGGUGGACUGUAAGAUGCUCCUUGUGUGAAACGCUGUGAUCCUAAGGUUGCUGGUUCAACUCCAGGCGCAAGCACCUCCUCGUCAUUGGAAAUACCCCCAAGCCUUGUCUUUAUCUGUCAACUCCUCCAAAAUGUAAAAACACAAACAAGAUAACUCUUUCUAAAAUUUUCAACCAUCAAUUUUUUAUUCACCCAGCCUAAAAGUCCUGAUUAUCAGUUCUGGGUCCCUGGCAAUGACUGUUGGGUACAAACUGCAAAGCUUAAUUCUGCAGGUAGGGCUGGGCUUUUCAUUGACCGUGGGUUGGAAUAGUUCUGUGGGCAUAGUGUGUCUUCGAAGCCACUAUGUUUUCUGCACUUGUGAGUAUAGAGCACCUUGAUAGCUCAGUUGGUAGACUGGUAGACUGUAAGAUGCUCCUUGUGUGAAACGCUGUGAUCCUAACGUCGCUGGUUCAACUCCAGCCGGAAGCACCUCCUUGUCAUUGGAAAUACCCCCAAGCCUUGUCUUUAUCUGUCAACUCCUCCAAAAUGUAAAAACACAAACGAGAUAACUCUUUCUUAAAUUUUCAACCAUCAAUUUUUUAUUCACCCAGCCUAAAAGUCCUGAUUAUCAGUUCUGGGUCCCUGGCAAUGACUGUUGGGUACAAACUGCAAAGCUUUGUUCUGCAGGUAGGGCUGGGCUUUUCAUUGACCAUGUGGGUGGAUUAGUUGUGUGGGCAAAGUGUGUCGUCUCAGCCACUAUGUUUUCUGCAGUUGUAAGUAUGGAGCGCCUUCAUAGCUCAGUUGGUAGAGCGGAGGACUGUAGGAAGCUCCUCAUAUGAAAUGCUGUGAUGCGAAGGUUGCUGUUUCAACUCCCACUUGGAAGCACGUGCAUUUCAUUGGUGUGAGCAAUGUUCAAGUUUUAAUUAAGUUGAAAUAAUGCCAAGCCUUGUCUUCAUUUGUGAAUUCCUCCAAAAUUUAAAAAUACAAACAAAAUAACUCCUCUUUGAUAUUCCGACCAUCAAUUUUUUAUUCACCCAGCCUAAAAGUCCUGAUUAUCAGUUCUGGGUCCCUGGCAAUGACUGUUGGGUACAAACUGCAAAGCUUUGUUCUGCAGGUAGGGCUGGGCUUUUCAUUGACCAUGGGUUGGAAUAGUUCUGUGGGCAUAGUGUGUCUUCGAAGCCACUAUGUUUUCAGCACUUGUGAGUAUAGAGCACCUUGAUAGCUCAGUUGGUAGAGCGGUGGACUGUAAGAUGCUCCUUGUGUGAAACGCUGUGAUCCUAAGGUUGCUGGUUCAACUCCAGGCGCAAGCACCUCCUCGUCAUUGGAAAUACCCCCAAGCCUUGUCUUUAUCUGUCAACUCCUCCAAAAUGUAAAAACACAAACAAGAUAACUCUUUCUAAAAUUUUCAACCAUCAAUUUUUUAUUCACCCAGCCUAAAAGUCCUGAUUAUCAGUUCUGGGUCCCGGCAAUGACUGUUGGGUACAAACUGCAAAGCUUAAUUCUGCAGGUAGGGCUGGGCUUUUCAUUGACCGUGGGUUGGAAUAGUUCUGUGGGCAUAGUGUGUCUUCGAAGCCACUAUGUUUUCUGCACUUGUGAGUAUAGAGCACCUUGAUAGCUCAGUUGGUAGAGCGGUGGACUGUAAGAUGCUCCUUGUGUGAAAAGCUGUGAUCCUAAGGUCGCUGGUUCAACUCCAGCCGGAAGCACCUCCUUGUCAUUGGAAAUACCCCCAAGCCUUGUCUUUAUCUGUCAACUCCUCCAAAAUGUAAAAACACAAACGAGAUAACUCUUUCUUAAAUUUUCAACCAUCAAUUUUUUAUUCACCCAGCCUAAAAGUCCUGAUUAUCAGUUCUGGGUCCCUGGCAAUGACUGUUGGGUACAAACUGCAAAGCUUUGUUCUGCAGGUAGGGCUGGGCUUUUCAUUGACCAUGGGUUGGAAUAGUUCUGUGGGCAUAGUGUGUCUUCGAAGCCACUAUGUUUUCUGCACUUGUGACUAGAGCGCACCUUGAUAGCUCAGUUGGUAGAGCGGUGGACUGUAAGAUGCUCCUUGUGUGAAACGCUGUGAUCCUAAGGUCGCUGGUUCAACUCCAGCCGGAAGCACCUCCUUGUCAUUGGAAAUACCCCCAAGCCUUGUCUUUAUCUGUCAACUCCUCCAAAAUGUAAAAACACAAACAAGAUAACUCUUUCUUAAAUUUUUAACCAUCAAUUUUUUAUUCACCCAGCCUAAAAGUCCUGAUUAUCAGUUCUGGGUCCCUGGCAAUGACUGUUGGGUACAAACUGCAAAGCUUUGUUCUGCAGGUAGGGCUGGGCUUUUCAUUGACCAUGGGUUGGAAUAGUUCUGUGGGCAUAGUGUGUCUUCGAAGCCACUAUGUUUUCUGCACUUGUGAGUAGAGAGCACUUUGAUAGCUCAAUUGUUAGAGCGGUGGACUGUAAGAUGCUCCUUGUGUGAAACGCUGUGAUCCUAAGGUCGCUGGUUCAACUCCAGCCCGAAGCACUUCCUUGUCAUUGGAAAUACCCCCAAGCCUUGUCUUUAUCUGUCAACUCCUCCAAAAUGUAAAAACACAAACAAGAUAACGCUUUCUUAAAUUUUCAACCAUCAAUUUUUUAUUCACCCAGCCUAAAAGUCCUGAUUAUCAGUUCUGGGUCCCUGGCAAUGACUGUUGGGUACAAACUGCAAAGCUUUGUUCUGCAGGUAGGGCUGGGCUUUUCAUUGACCAUGGGUUGGAAUAGUUCUGUGGGCAUAGUGUGUCUUCGAAGCCACUAUGUUUUCUGCACUUGUGAGUAGAGAGCACCUUGAUAGCUCAGUUGGUAGAGCGGUGGACUGUAAGAUGCUCCUUGUGUGAAACGCUGUGAUCCUAAGGUCGCUGGUUCAACUCCAGCCGGAAGCACCUCCUUGUCAUUGGAAAUACCCCCAAGCCUUGUCUUUAUCUGUCAACUCCUCCAAAAUGUAAAAACACAAACAAGAUAACUCUUUCUUAAAUUUUCAACCAUCAAUUUUUUAUUCACCCAGCCUAAAAGUCCUGAUUAUCAGUUCUGGGUCCCUGGCAAUGACUGUUGGGUACAAACUGCAAAGCUUUGUUCGUCAGGUAGGGCUGGGCUUUUCAUUGACCAUGGGUUGGAAUAGUUCUGUGGGCAUAGUGUGUCUUCGAAGCCACUAUGUUUUCUGCACUUGUGACUAGAGAGCACCUUGAUAGCUCAGUUGGUAGAGCGGUGGACUGUAAGAUGCUCCUUGUGUGAAACGCUGUGAUCCUAAGGUUGCUGGUUCAACUCCAGCCGGAAGCACCUCCUUGUCAUUGGAAAUACCCCCAAGCCUUGUCUUUAUCUGUCAACUCCUCCAAAAUGUAAAAACACAAACAAGAUAACUCUUUCUUAAAUUUUCAACCAUCAAUUUUUUAUUCACCCAGCCUAAAAGUCCUGAUUAUCAGUUCUGGGUCCCUGGCAAUGACUGUUGGGUACAAACUGCAAAGCUUUGUUCUGCAGGUAGGGCUGGGCUUUUCAUUGACCAUGGGUUGGAAUAGUUCUGUGGGCAUAGUGUGUCUUCGAAGCCACUAUGUUUUCUGCACUUGUGACUAGAGAGCACCUUGAUAGCUCAGUUGGUAGAGCGGUGGACUGUAAGAUGCUCCUUGUGUGAAACGCUGUGAUCCUAAGGUCGCUGGUUCAACUCCAGCCGGAAGCACCUCCUUGUCAUUGGAAAUACCCCCAAGCCUUGUCUUUAUCUGUCAACUCCUCCAAAAUGUAAAAACACAAACAAGAUAACUCUUUCUUAAAUUUUCAACCAUCAAUUUUUUAUUCACCCAGCCUAAAAGUCCUGAUUAUCAGUUCUGGGUCCCUGGCAAUGACUGUUGGGUACAAACUGCAAAGCUUUGUUCGUCAGGUAGGGCUGGGCUUUUCAUUGACCAUGGGUUGGAAUAGUUCUGUGGGCAUAGUGUGUCUUCGAAGCCACUAUGUUUUCUGCACUUGUGACUAGAGAGCACCUUGAUAGCUCAGUUGGUAGAGCGGUGGACUGUAAGAUGCUCCUUGUGUGAAACGCUGUGAUCCUAAGGUUGCUGGUUCAACUCCACCGGAAGCACCUCCUUGUCAUUGGAAAUACCCCCAAGCCUUGUCUUUAUCUGUCAACUCCUCCAAAAUGUAAAAACACAAACAAGAUAACUCUUUCUUAAAUUUUCAACCAUCAAUUUUUUAUUCACCCAGCCUAAAAGUCCUGAUUAUCAGUUCUGGGUCCCUGGCAAUGACUGUUGGGUACAAACUGCAAAGCUUUGUUCGUCAGGUAGGGCUGGGCUUUUCAUUGACCAUGGGUUGGAAUAGUUCUGUGGGCAUAGUGUGUCUUCGAAGCCACUAUGUUUUCUGCACUUGUGACUAGAGAGCACCUUGAUAGCUCAGUUGGUAGAGCGGUGGACUGUAAGAUGCUCCUUGUGUGAAACGCUGUGAUCCUAAGGUUGCUGGUUCAACUCCAGCCGGAAGCACCUCCUUGUCAUUGGAAAUACCCCCAAGCCUUGUCUUUAUCUGUCAACUCCUCCAAAAUGUAAAAACACAAACAAGAUAACUCUUUCUUAAAUUUUCAACCAUCAAUUUUUUAUUCACCCAGCCUAAAAGUCCUGAUUAUCAGUUCUGGGUCCCUGGCAAUGACUGUUGGGUACAAACUGCAAAGCUUUGUUCUGCAGGUAGGGCUGGGCUUUUCAUUGACCAUGGGUUGGAAUAGUUCUGUGGGCAUAGUGUGUCUUCGAAGCCACUAUGUUUUCUGCACUUGUGACUAGAGAGCACCUUGAUAGCUCAGUUGGUAGAGCGGUGGACUGUAAGAUGCUCCUUGUGUGAAACGCUGUGAUCCUAAGGUCGCUGGUUCAACUCCAGCCGGAAGCACCUCCUUGUCAUUGGAAAUACCCCCAAGCCUUGUCUUUAUCUGUCAACUCCUCCAAAAUGUAAAAACACAAACAAGAUAAAUUUUUCUUAAAUUUUCAACCAUCAAUUUUUUAUUCACCCAGCCUAAAAGUCCUGAUUAUCAGUUCUGGGUCCCUGGCAAUGACUGUUGGGUACAAACUGCAAAGCUUUGUUCUGCAGGUAGGGCUGGGCUUUUCAUUGACCAUGGGUUGGAAUAGUUCUGUGGGCAUAGUGUGUCUUCGAAGCCACUAUGUUUUCUGCACUUGUGACUAGAGAGCACCUUGAUAGCUCAGUUGGUAGAGCGGUGGACUGUAAGAUGCUCCUUGUGUGAAACGCUGUGAUCCUAAGGUCGCUGGUUCAACUCCAGCCGGAAGCACCUCCUUGUCAUUGGAAAUACCCCCAAGCCUUGUCUUUAUCUGUCAACUCCUCCAAAAUGUAAAAACACAAACAAGAUAACUCUUUCUUAAAUUUUCAACCAUCAAUUUUUUAUUCACCCAGCCUAAAAGUCCUGAUUAUCAGUUCUGGGUCCCUGGCAAUGACUGUUGGGUACAAACUGCAAAGCUUUGUUCGUCAGGUAGGGCUGGGCUUUUCAUUGACCAUGGGUUGGAAUAGUUCUGUGGGCAUAGUGUGUCUUCGAAGCCACUAUGUUUUCUGCACUUGUGACUAGAGAGCACCUUGAUAGCUCAGUUGGUAGAGCGGUGGAACUAUAAGAUGCUCCUUGGGUGAAACGCUGUGAUCGUAAGGUCGCUGGUUCAACUCCGGCCGGAACCACUUCCUUGUCAUUGGAAAUACCCCCAACCCUUGUCUUUAUCUGUCAACUCC